rnacentral:rRNA from 1 species
UAUGAGUUAGUGGCGGACGGGUGAGUAACGCGUGGGAACUACUCGACCUNUACGGGGGAUAACACUUAGAAAUAGGUGCUAAUACCGCAUAAUAGGGAAUACCGCAUGGUAAUCCUUUGAAAACUCCGGUGGUACAGGAUGGGCCCGCGUCUGAUUAGCCAGUUGGCGGGGUAACGGCCCACCAAAGCGACGAUCAGCAGCCGGCCUGAGAGGGUGGACGGCCACACUGGGACUGAGACACGGCCCAGACUCCUACGGAAGGCAGCAG